CAGCAGUGGGGAAUAUUGCACAAUGGGCGCUAAGCCUGAUGCAGUCCAUGCCGCGUGUAUGAAGAAGGCCUUCGGGUUGUAAAGUACUUUCAGCAGUGAGGAAGGUGGGUAUGUUAAUAGCAUAUUCAUUUGACGUUUAGCUGCAGAAGAAGCACCGGCUAACUCCGUGCCAGCAGCCGCGGUAAUACGGAGGGUGCGAGCGUUAAUCGGAAUUACUGGGCGUAAAGCGCAUGCAGGUGGUUUGUUAAGUCAGAUGUGAAAGCCCGGGGCUCAACCUCGGAAUUGCAUUUGAAACUGGCAAACUAGAGUACUGUAGAGGGGGUAGAAUUUCAGGUGUAGCGGUGAAAUGCGUAGAGAUCUGAAGGAAUACCGGUGGCGAAGGCGGCCCCCUGGACAGAUACUGACACUCAGAUGCGAAAGCGUGGGGAGCAAACAGGAUUAGAUACCCUGGUAG
rnacentral:rRNA from 1 species